UGAACAGUAGGAGGCCAGUUCUCCGCUCACAGCGGGCGCUGCACCCCAGGUGCUGCUCUCGAGAAAAAGGCGAGCAUGGACCAAUUUAGUGGCUCCGAGGUAUGAAAAGCAGUGAGAUGGUGUCUUUGAGGGAGUUAGUGAUAGGCUGAGACCCCCUUGCUGUCCCCCCUGAAGCCUGGUGACCAGAGCUGCCAGGAGGCCACACAGAGAGAGGUUUAUGAUGGGGGACCUGGAAUUCGGAAGGGGCAGAGUGGUCAGGUGACCCAUACACGCCUGAGAAAACUGAUGUGGAGAGCUGUGUUGUCAUUCUGAGGCAGGAAAUAGAGACAGACUGACAGACAGACAGAAAGACACGGGCACAUUGAGAGACAGAGACAGAAUCACAGAGCAGAGCUGGCUUCUCACCAGCAGGCGUGGGCACACCUGAGAGAGCAUCCAGAGAGGUUAGAAAUCUUCCUUAGGUCCUCCUGGGAGGCUCAGGUGACCCCAGUGGGAAACAUGAAAGGCUGGGAGGACUUCCAGGGCUGAGAGAAGGAAGCUACGCAGCCGGCCGGUGCCACAUUCCCUGUGCCUUGGGGAGUGUCCCCCAGUGUCCCCAGCCAUGCACCCUGGGGGGAGUCGGCUUGGACAUCUGUGCCACCCCUUGACAGGCAGAGUGGGGGCCACAACCUGGGCCCUCCAGUGCUGGUCAGCAGAGGCUGCCCCCGCCCCUUGCCUUCCUCCUCCCGCUCCUUCCUCCAGCCCUGGGAAGGUCGGAAGCCACCACCAUGGG
rnacentral:lncRNA from 1 species